UUUUACACCAAAAUCCACCAAAAAUGUUUUGUUUGCACAUAUAGUUUAAAGCUCUUGCAACAUGUAGGAGCCAUGAACUGAGGCUGCUGUGAUUGGUCACCUGUGAGCUGCUGAAACCAAUCAGCCGAAGAUGAUGUUGGUGAUCUCUGAAGAAGUGGCUGUGGUCCUACAUUUCUUUUUUUUUUUUCUUCCAGACGGGAGGGAAGCAGCAUUAAGGAAGUCUGCAAGACACAUCAAAGAGGCGGAACAACAGGACGGAGAAAGCGUGGAAGUAGAGUUGACUGAAAAGCAUUAAGGGGUUUGAACACAAUGCCAGGAUGGAAGGACAACAGCAAUGUUCUCCACACUGCCACCCAACUUGGACCAAAAGAAACUGGCGGCGCAGAGGGGAUUCGGAUCAGGCUUCCUGCGCUUUGCUUUGAUAACUUGGAGGUUUUCCUCCAGGACGGACGUCCAGAGUCGUUGUGGAUCAGUUUGUGUUUGUGAGCAUUUGUUAAAUGUGCCGAACAUGACGAGCACAAGUCGGUGUGAGUAAAUUCCUGCAGACCAGAAUCCACAAUCCGGGCUUUUUAUUUUUUCCUUUUUAUUUUACAGCCUUCUCAGCCGGCUGUCAGACUCCGGAGCAGGUAGCUUGCACUCCAUUAAACAAACACUGUGGCCCCUCACUUUUAUUUGACAUUUUAUUUGGCUGUGACAAACGAGCAGCAGUUGGAUUAUAACAUAAUUUGUCUCCUCUUUAUUACCGGCACAAAGGACACCAUUCAUUAAUUAUUCUGCCGGUGCCGCUCAACACUAACUGGAAAGGUCCCUCUUUGGACAGAUGGCGAGGACAAUGUUAUUUAUAUCAAUCAGUCCAAAAUGUUCAGCGAGGAUUACAAUUCCUUGGCCCGCUUUGAUUUAUGUGUGUGCACCUAACCCUGUACCCAACCUCGCCGGCUCCUGCGGGGCCGCUUUAAUGGAAUGGGAAUUGAAAACAGACUCGUGAGGCAGCAAUGUUUUUCGGCAUGUUUAUUUAUACACUUUUCUGUUUUUCUUCCCCCACAAGUCAUCACAGCUAAAGUUGUGUUGCUGUUGAUGCAGCCCGUCCUCCGCUACUGUAAAUAUAGACGUAAAAUUCUGUGUAUUUACAGCAGAUAAAGACCUAAUGAACCGUUUUUAUUGAAUGUGUACACCUGUCACAAUAUAAUACUUUACAGGCAAGGCAGGCAGGGCUGGUUCCAGACAUUUGGGGGACCUAAUUCAGAUCCCCCCUUUUCCCACCUUACAAUGCAUAACCAUCUAACAAAACGUACUUUAAUACAUGCUAAUAU